rnacentral:rRNA from 1 species
GGUCGAGCGGAUAUCACGGAGCUUGCUCCGUGACUUCAGCGGCGGACGGGUGAGUAACACGUGGGCAACCUGCCUGUAAGACUGGGAUAACUUCGGGAAACCGGAGCUAAUACCGGAUAACUCUUCGGACCACAUGGACUGAAGAUAAAAGAUGGUUCUGCUAUCAUUUACAGAUGGGCCCGCGGCGCAUUAGCUAGUUGGUGAGGUAACGGCUCACCAAGGCGACGAUGCGUAGCCGACCUGAGAGGGUGAUCGGCCACACUGGGACUGAGACACGGCCCAGACUCCUACGGGAGGCAGCAGUAGGGAAUCUUCCGCAAUGGACGAAAGUCUGACGGAGCAACGCCGCGUGAGCGAUGAAGGCCUUCGGGUCGUAAAGCUCUGUUGUUAGGGAAGAACAAGUAUCAGUUAACUGCUGGUACCUUGACGGCACCUAACGAGAAAGCCACGGC